GUGUGUAUUCCUGUCUCUCUCUCCCAGAAUAACUGUACGUUUGCCCAGCGACCUGCGAGGAAGCGGUGAUAUGUUCAAAAACAGAACUACACACAUGUUGUACUACACACCUGUUGUACUACAAACCUUUUAGGCCGUAGACAAAACUUCCCAAACAUCUCCUGCUCUGGGACAUAUCUUCCUUCACUCUCAGCUGGCUGUCCUGAAUAUCAAUACUACUCAACAUCUACCUUACUCUCCGGACUCGUCAAGCCAGUCUAUUUAUCCACUGGCCGGACUGUGUGAAGACCCUGGCUCUGUGAAGACCCUGGCUCUGUGAAGACAGUGGCUCUGUGAAGAUCCUGACUAAGCAGUUGCCUCCACUGAUUCCUCCUCAGCCUCCAC
rnacentral:lncRNA from 1 species